rnacentral:tRNA from 1 species
CUUAAAUAAUUUAAUAAAAAUAUUGAUUUGUGGAGUCAAAAAUAUGAAGGAUUAUCAAUCAUUUUAAGUC